UACGUAGGGGGCGAGCGUUGUCCGGAUUUAUUGGGCGUAAAGAGCUCGUAGGCGGUUUGGUAAGUCGGGUGUGAAAUCUCCACGCUCAACGUGGAGGGGCCACUCGAUACUGCCAUGACUCGAGUCCGGUAGAGGAGUGUGGAAUUCCCGGUGUAGCGGUGAAAUGCGCAGAUAUCGGGAGGAACACCAGCGGCGAAGGCGGCACUCUGGGCUGGUACUGACGCUGAGGAGCGAAAGCGUGGGGAGCAAACAGG
rnacentral:rRNA from 1 species